rnacentral:rRNA from 1 species
AUUGAACGCUGGCGGCAGGCCUAACACAUGCAAGUCGAACGGUAACAGGAAGCAGCUUGCUGCUUUGCUGACGAGUGGCGGACGGGUGAGUAAUGUCUGGGAAACUGCCUGAUGGAGGGGGAUAACUACUGGAAACGGUAGCUAAUACCGCAUAACGUCGCAAGACCAAAGAGGGGGACCUUCGGGCCUCUUGCCAUCGGAUGUGCCCAGAUGGGAUUAGCUAGUAGGUGGGGUAACGGCUCACCUAGGCGACGAUCCCUAGCUGGUCUGAGAGGAUGACCAGCCACACUGGAACUGAGACACGGUCCAGACUCCUACGGGAGGCAGCAGUGGGGAAUAUUGCACAAUGGGCGCAAGCCUGAUGCAGCCAUGCCGCGUGUAUGAAGAAGGCCUUUCGGGUUGUAAAGUACUUUGCAGCGGGGAGGAAGGCGAUACAGGUUAAUAACCUGUCGAUUGACGUUACCCGCAGA